UCGGGAAUAUUGCGCAAUGGAGGGAACUCUGACGCAGUGACGCCGCGUAUAGGAAGAAGGUUUUCGGAUUGUAAACUAUUGUCGUUAGGGAAGAAAAAAGACAGUACCUAAGGAGGAAGCCCCGGCUAACUAUGUGCCAGCAGCCGCGGUAAUACAUAGGGGGCAAGCGUUAUCCGGAAUUAUUGGGUGUAAAGGGUGCGUAGACGGGUGUUUAAGUUGGUUGUGAAAUCCCUCGGCUCAACUGAGGAACUGCAACCAAAACUGGAUAUCUUGAGUGUCGGAGAGGAAAGUGGAAUUCCUAGUGUAGCGGUGAAAUGCGUAGAUAUUAGGAGGAACACCAGUGGCGAAGGCGACUUUCUGGACGAUAACUGACGUUGAGGCACGAAAGUGUGGGGAGCAAACAGG
rnacentral:rRNA from 1 species